GGAGCUUGUGCCUUGCCAGGUUUUGGGAACAUGCAGGGAGCACCAGCUCCAUGCUGGGAGCAUUUAGAUCCAUGAAGGGUGGGCAGCCUCAAGAAUUCACAAAAGGGAAACUACUUGAAAUAUUCUCACCUGCUUCCAUGGAGGGAAAAUUUUUCAGUGGAGAUCCAUUUCUCUUUUGGUGAAAAACUGUCCAAUCUUUCUUUUAAAUAUACUUAGUGUGCUCUCCUUGUA